rnacentral:misc_RNA from 1 species
UCGUACAAAAUGUGAGGGGCAUGUGAGGGCUGUCGCUGACUCAAUGUCGUGCACGCCCGAGCGUGUCCUCUCACAUAAUAAUCCAUCUCACCCUUUGUGCAUCGCCGCGUGGGUCCUCCUCUAAGGGGGGCUUACGUUUUCACACAAACUUCGUAUGCAGUGUAGAAUGUAUUUUUGUUUUGCGAUCACGCAAUCAAUA